GUAAAGAGUCUACUUGAUGUUGCAGACAAUUUAGGACGAGCUUCUUCAGUUGUCAAAGAAAGUUUUUCAAAGAUUGACACAUCUAAGGAUUCAUCUGGGGCUGCUCCACUUUUAAAAACACUUCUAGUGGGUGUUGAAAUGACAGAAAAACAACUUGUAGAGUGUGGUGGGAAAAAUACAUAUACACUUGGCGAAAUUAAUGAAAUUCGAAAUGAAUAGGCAACCAAGCUUCUUGAGCGGACGAGUCAUAGCUAGAGUAACUUUUGAAAUCAGAAUUAAAAAAUAUACUAAUUGUAGUUUUUAGUUAGCACUUACAUAGUUAUUCCAAGUCUAUAUUUUGAUCUUGCAAUU